GAUGGAACGUAGCGAAAUGCGAUACGUAAUGUGAAUUGCAGAAUUCAGUGAAUCAUCGAGUCUUUGAACGCACAUUGCGCCCCCUGGUAUUCCGGGGGGCAUGCCUGUCCGAGCGUCAUUGCUGCCCUCAAGCACGGCUUGUGUGUUGGGCCUCCGUCCUCCUCCCGGGGGACGGGCCCGAAAGGCAGCGGCGGCACCGCGUCCGGUCCUCGAGCGUAUGGGGCUUCGUCACCCGCUCUUGUAGGCCCGGCCGGCGCUUGCCGACACAUCAAUCUUUUUUCCAGGUUGACCUCGGAUCAGGUAGGGAUACCCGCUGAACUUAAGCAUAUCAAUAAGCGGAGGA
rnacentral:misc_RNA from 1 species